GGUUUAUUGGAUCGUACCCGUUAAAUGGAUAACUGUAAUAACUCUAGAGCUAAUACAUGCCACGAAGCCCUGACCCCGCUUGUCGGGGAAUGGGUGCACUUAUUAGAACAGAAGCCAACCAGUUCUACACGGGAAACCGUGUAGGCUGUAGCACUUCUGGUGACUCUGGAUAAUUGUUACAGAUCGCAGUCGGCUCUAUGUCGGCGACGGGUCCUUCAAAUGUCUGCCCUAUCAACUGUCGAUGGUAGGUGACCUGCCUACCAUGGUGAUAACGGGUAACGGGGAAUCAGGGUUCGAUUCCGGARAGGGAGCCUGAGAAACGGCUACCACUUCCAAGGGAGGCAGCAGGCGCGCAAAUUAUCCACUCCCAGCACGGGGAGAUGGUGACGAAAAAUACCGAUGCGGGACUCAUCUACGAGGCUCCGUAAUCGGAAUGAGUGGACUCUAAAUCCUUUCACGAGGAUCAAUUGGAGGGCAAGUCUGGUGCCAGCAGCCGCGGUAACUCCAGCUCCAAUAGCGUAUAUUAAAGUUGCUGCAGUUAAAAAGCUCGUAGUUGGAUCUCGGUAGCAUUGUUGCCUGCUUAGUUAUCAUGUACUGCGGUGUACCUCUUGUCAUUGUGUGCCCGUGUGGCUUCGGCUAUGUGGGUACCGUGGUGGGUUGUACAUAAAAACUGUAGUGCUAUGAGCUGGCAUGGCGAUGGUGUCACCUUUGAGCCAUGUCUGUGGUGUAACAGCCACAGGUGUAAAUGAGUGUCGGGCAGUGUCCUGCACUUGUGUGGGGCCUCGUCGGCUCGUUUGCAUGCCA
rnacentral:rRNA from 1 species